CGAAGAGAAGUGAAUGACAUGUUCGUGGUUGUUGUGUCAAUUAUUCGAGAGACCUACAUAUGCCUGGUGUAGUUUUGGUGUUCGGGGAUGCAAAAAUCAUGUUCACCAUCGGCGGCGGGCGUGACUACGAAGAUGCCGUAGAAGGCGAAUUGCGAAGACGUCCGAAGCAUACUGAUGCUCAAUACCCAUUGAUUUUGCUUCACCGAGGUGACGAGUUCAACACAACGUCUUAGGGGCCUUCCAGUGUUGAAGUGGCGCAAAACUGUUUGGUGUGUCUGUGAUCAAGGCACUCAAGUUGACAUGACAGAAAUAGCUGAAAGCAGGUAUGCAAAGUCCACAGAUUGAAGCACUAGAUUUGUUACGUGUUGCAGACUUUGUGACUUUUUUUUUGAGUCUUUGGACAGGUGCAGAACAUUAGUAUGACGUCAACAAGGGGAGAAGAAACCGAUGAGAACUACUAGCUUGUUUGAAGGGUGCAAGAAUACUUCCUGUUGAGAUGUAGUCAUGACUUUAUGACUAAGGAACGCUAAUUAAUUUUCUAUAGAUGCAUCCUCUACACUUGGAUGCCCAGUGAAACAGCAAACGUUCGUGGUCUUUGAAGCCCCACUACUGGAAUUGUUCAAUGUGUGUCAGAGCUACAGUGUGAAGGUUACCACAUCAUAUUGGUCCUAAAUUUGCAGAGUUCCCCUAUCUCAGACGCAACUGUCAUUUCGCUUUAUUGCUCUUCCGAUCCUACCUUCUCAGAGAUUAAUGUGGUUCACCAUACACUGCAUGGGCACUGCCUUUCUCUAUACUCAUGUUUUCAGUUUCUUGUUCUGUUGAAUAGAUCUUCACUUGAGUUGGCAGCCAUCACGCUGUCUACUGUGUUUGCCCCUCAUCUAUAUUGAUGUGCUGUAACGGUAUAGCACAUCAACAUGCCAACGACCUACCAAACAACCUUGCCUAGUCCUACUUUUGGAUGGAAACUGCACGAUGUGGUAACAUCCACAUAUGUAAAGUUUUAGUCGACGGAGAUUUGCUGUUUUUGUACAACCUUCAUUGUACAUUUCUUUUGUCUCACUUAGCAUGCCUGAAGAAAUGUUCUGAUCUUCAUCAAGAUGACAGGUCGUCGUUCGAUCUGCAGCAUUAUUGUUCCUGUAACCUUUUCACCAACAGAGAAUACAAACGUGAACAAAUGGUUUUACAACUCUAUCAAGUACGUCAAAACAUCAGAGGGCAGGCAGUCCUACUCUGUUUCCUAAAUCCGUGGACAAUAAAAAAGAAAGAUAUAGUUUGAGUUGUGACAAAAUGUUGCUU